rnacentral:rRNA from 1 species
UACGGAGGGUGCAAGCGUUAUCCGGAUUCACUGGGUUUAAAGGGUGCGUAGGCGGACAGGUAAGUCAGUGGUGAAAUCUCCGAGCUUAACUCGGAAACUGCCUUUGAUACUCUCUGUCUUGAAUAUGGUGGAGGUAAGCGGAAUAUGUCAUGUAGCGGUGAAAUGCUUAGAGAUGACAUAGAACACCUAUUGCGAAAGGCAGCUUACUACGCCUAUAUUGACGCUGAGGCACGAAAGCGUGGGGAUCAAACAGG